AGUCAUAUGCUUGUCUCAAAGAUUAAGCCAUGCAUGUCUGAGUUUAAGCUAAUUUUUGGUGAAACUGCGAAUGGCUCAUUAUAUCAGUUAUAAUAUGCUCAAUAACCUAGCUUACAUGGAUAACUGUGGUAAUUCUAGAGCUAAUACAUGCACACAAACCUGACCUUCAAGUAUGGUUGUGUUUAUUGACUUCAAAACCAACUCAAGCUCUGCUUGAUGUUUUGUAUGACUGAUGAUAAAUUAAUGAAUUGCGUGGCACAUGCUGGCAAUGAAUUGUUUUAGUUUCUGACCUAUCAGCUUCCGACGGUAAAGUAUGGGCUUACCGUGGCAGUGACGGGUGACGGAGAAUUAGGGUUUGAUUCCGGAGAGGGAGCCUGAGAAAUGGCUACCACAUCUAAGGAAGGCAGCAGGCGCGCAAAUUACCCAAUCUUGGCAUAGGGAGGUAGUGACAAGAAAUAACAAUACAGGGCAUCCAUGUUUUGUAAUUGGAAUGGACAGAUGUUAACUUUCUCUGUGAGUAUCAAU
rnacentral:rRNA from 1 species